AACGAACGCUGGCGGCAUGCCUAACACAUGCAAGUCGAACGAGACCUUCGGGUCUAGUGGCGCACGGGUGCGUAACGCGUGGGAAUCUGCCCUUGGGUGCGGAAUAACAGUUAGAAAUGACUGCUAAUACCGCAUAAUGACUCCGGUCCAAAGAUUUAUCGCCCAGGGAUGAGCCACGCGUCGGAUUAGCUAGUUGGUAGGGUAAAAGCCUACCAAGGCAACGAUCCGUAGCUGGUCUGAGAGGAUGAUCAGCCACACUGGGACUGAGACACGGCCCAGGCUCCUACGGGAGGCAGCAGUGGGGAAUAUUGGACAAUGGGCGAAAGCCUGAUCCAGCAAUGCCGCGUGAGUGAUGAAGGCCUUAGGGUUGUAAAGCUCUUUUACCCGGGAUGAUAAUGACAGUACCGGGAGAAUAAGCCCCGGCUAACUCCGUGCCAGCCGCCGCCGUAAGAC
rnacentral:rRNA from 1 species